AGGGCGGCCGUGGGGCCGCGGUCCGAGCCGCCCCGGGCAGCGCCGUGAGGGGCCGCCCUGUAUCCGGGCCCCGCCGUUACCUGGGAGAGCCGGGGAAAGAACCUCACAGUCUGAACCUUGUGAAACUGUGAUGGGGUGGCAACACAGAAGGAUUUAGUCAACAUCUUUCACACAAGGUAAAGUACUCACCGCUUUAUGGUCCUUCUUCAUGAAAGUCAGAAUGAAAACAUUCCUAAGGAAUCAAGUAAGGAAGAAGCUAAAAUCCACAAGGAAAUAUAACUGAAACCUAAUAUAUAAAAUAUAACC